rnacentral:rRNA from 1 species
CGGGCGAGUAACACGUGGAUAACCUACCUAUAAGACUGGGAUAACUUCGGGAAACCGGAGCUAAUACCGGAUAAUAUUUUGAACCGCAUGGUUCAAAAGUGAAAGACGGUCUUGCUGUCACUUAUAGAUGGAUCCGCGCUGCAUUAGCUAGUUGGUAGGGUAACGGCUUACCAAGGCAACGAUGCAUAGCCGACCUGAGAGGGUGAUCGGCCACACUGGAACUGAGACACGGUCCAG